rnacentral:rRNA from 1 species
GGAGGGGAUUAGUGGCGAACGGGUGAGUAACACGUGGGCAAUCUGCCCUGCACUCUGGGACAAGCCCUGGAAACGGGGUCUAAUACCGGAUACUGACCCGCUUGGGCAUCCAAGCGGUUCGAAAGCUCCGGCGGUGCAGGAUGAGCCCGCGGCCUAUCAGCUUGUUGGUGAGGUAAUGGCUCACCAAGGCGACGACGGGUAGCCGGCCUGAGAGGGCGACCGGCCACACUGGGACUGAGACACGGCCCAGACUCCUACGGGAGGCAGCAGUGGGGAAUAUUGCACAAUGGGCGAAAGCCUGAUGCAGCGACGCCGCGUGAGGGAUGACGGCCUUCGGGUUGUAAACCUCUUUCAGCAGGGAAGAAGCGAAAGUGACGGUACCUGCAGAAGAAGCGCCGGCUAACUACGUGCCAGCAGCCGCGGUAAUACGUAGGGCGCGAGCGUUGUCCGGAAUUAUUGGGCGUAAAGAGCUCGUAGGCGGCUUGUCACGUCGGUUGUGAAAGCCCGGGGCUUAACCCCGGGUCUGCAGUCGAUACGGGCAGGCUAGAGUUCGGUAGGGGAGAUCGGAAUUCCUGGUGUAGCGGUGAAAUGCGCAGAUAUCAGGAGGAACACCGGUGGCGAAGGCGGAUCUCUGGGCCGAUACUGACGCUGAGGAGCGAAAGCGUGGGGAGCGAACAGGAUUAGAUACCCUGGUAGUCCACGCCGUAAACGGUGGGCACUAGGUGUGGGCGACAUUCCACGUCGUCCGUGCCGCAGCUAACGC